GGGGGGGGGGGGGGGGGGGCGGGGUACAUGCAGGGCGGGCGGGCAGACGAGGAGCGUGCGGCUCGGACGUUGGCGGCGGACGGGUGAGUAACACGUGGAUAACCUACCUAUAAGACUGGGAUAACUUCGGGAACCCGGGGCGAAUACCGGCUAAUAUAUUGACCCGCAUGGUUCAAUGGUGAAAGGCGGGUUUGCUGUCACUAUUAGAGUGAUCCGCGCCGCAUUCGCUAGUUUGUACGGUAACGGCUUACCAAGGCAACGAUGCGUAGCCGACCUGAGAGGGGGAUCGGCCCCACUGGAACUGAGACACGGUCCAGACUCCUACGGGAGGCAGCAGUAUGGAAUCUUCCGCAAUGGGCGAAAGCCUGACGGAGCAACGCCGCGUGAGUGAUGAAGGUCUUCGGAUCGUAAAACUCUGUUAUUAGGGAAGAACAAAUGUGUAAGUAACUAUGCACGUCUUGACGGUACCUAAUCAGAAAGCCACGGCUAACUACGUG
rnacentral:rRNA from 1 species